AUUGAACGCUGGCGGCAGGCCUAACACAUGCAAGUCGAACGGUAACAGGAAGAAGCUUGCUUCUUUGCUGACGAGUGGCGGACGGGUGAGUAAUGUCUGGGAAACUGCCUGAUGGAGGGGGAUAACUACUGGAAACGGUAGCUAAUACCGCAUAACGUCGCAAGACCAAAGAGGGGGACCUUCUGGCCUCUUGCCAUCGGAUGUGCCCAGAUGGGAUUAGCUAGUAGGUGGGGUAACGGCUCACCUAGGCGACGAUCCCUAGCUGGUCUGAGAGGACGACCAGCCACACUGGGACUGAGACACGGCCCAGACUCCUACGGGAGGCAGCAGUGGGGAAUUUUGGACAAUGGGGGCAACCCUGAUCCAGCCAUGCCGCGUGCAGGAUGAAGGCCUUCGGGUGUAAACUGCUUUGUCAGGGACGAAAGGACCGUGUUAAUACCAUGGUCUGCUGACGGUACCUGAAGAAUAAGCACCGGCUAACUACGUGCCAGCAG
rnacentral:rRNA from 1 species